GGUUCAAACAGCAACUCUUUAUUCCCGAACUCUCACCGGCAUCUACCCACACCUCCGGGAAUACACUCCCUCCAAAUUCUCCCGGAACCCCCAGGAGAACUCAACAGGAACUCCAAAGUAGCAUCCGCCCUAAUCCCAGAGCCGCCUUGAUCCUGGAGCUGCCUUAUUCCGGAGCAGGGUCACCUUUCAACCAUUCCCUCUAGCAAAAUGCCAGGUGUCAUUCUGACUAAACUGUGGCUCUCAACAUCUCCCCCCUUCUGUUUAAUUAAACAACAAGCAUGUGGCUUAGGGUUAAAAAACCUGUCUUAGGUUGUCUAAUACUACAUAUGGUCCUUACCCGUCAUCAGAUGAGCUGACCUCAAGGCGUCAGCCUCCUGUCUUAGGUUGGUACCAUUGUAAUUGGAUCUUAUCCGUCAUUGGCUACCGGUCCAGCAUACAGCCAUACUUGUGGAUAGGCCUUUGUAACAGUGCGGGGGUGAGGUUCUUUGCCUCACUUCUAUUGGCCCCCAAAUUUGGCCUUUGCACCAGUUGGGGGGUGAGGUUCUUUGCCUCACCUCUGUUGGCCCCCAAAUUUUAGACCAUCACAAGCAGAAGGGAGGAGGAUGCAAAAUGCCACGGCACCAAGCCAAAUGACGGCUCUUUUUGGAAAAAUUGUACCACCGAUGACACCAUCAGCAAAGAUACCCCAGCACUACCAUAAUUCGCUGCACCAACAGAUAGUUCACAAUGCAUGCAAGUGAUACAUAGUCCAGGCAAGUUCUGCAAACAGUUCAAAGCAGAGGAAUCUAUUAAUAUGUCCAUUUCCUCCCAAAGUAAAUCGACUCCUUGAUUGAGCAUCACUUGCUGAGUUAUUAUUUAUUGAUGCAUCAGUUUAUACAGUUUGUUGUGAUAGCUAUCGCAGAAGCUGUAGUUUGGUUUUAUCUUUGUCUUCACCGGCACUGGGAUGAAGAUAGGAAUUCUGGCAAUAAUGGCUAAGAAAAAUUAUGUAACAUAUUCCAACAGGUACUAAGAAAACAAUUUUCUGAACAAUUUACAUUAUCCUGAAGAGAAUUAUUAAAUAUAAUGAAAAGGAAAGGUGAAAGUAAAUAGAUCUGUUAACCUCCUUUUUUGUUCACAUAUUAAAACAAUCCUCAAUAGCUGUUUACCCAAUUUAAAUUAAACCAUUUAAAUCACGUGAAUAAAAAAAAUAUUUGGAUCCAUAUUUUUAUGAGUGCUCCUCAUAUAUGAUAUAUGGACAUACGCACAUACAGAUAUACAACACAAAACAGAAGUGUGCACACAUAACAUAAUACAUACAACACAUAACAUAAUAGUAAAGGCCUUGUAGCUUUUCACAGGUGAAAUCUCCAUUGCAAUGUUUAAAAACUCCACAGUCAAAAAAUAGAACUGAUUAGAAAAACAUUAACCUAGGUCUGUAUGAGCUCAAAAAUAAAAUGAAACUUUAUGAUGUGGGAAAAGGCAAUAAUAAAAUAGAUAUUGAAAAAAAGCAUCUUGGUUACCACCUAGGUUUGACUCUUUUUUUGAUAUGUCAUUCACUUACCUCCAAGCUUCAGGCGUUCCCCGUAUGGGCCACCAAAUGCCGCAGUCUGGCUGGGCACAAAUAACCGAGCUGCCACAAAGCCUUGUAGGUUCAAACAGCAACUCUUUAUUCCGGAACUCUCACCGGCACUCUACCCACACUUCCCGGGAAUACACUCCCUCCACCAAUUCUCCCGGAACCCCUUGGAGAACUCAGUGGGAGAACUCAGUGGGAGCUCCAAAGUAGCAGGUGCCCUGAGGCAGCAGGAUCUGCCCUAAUCCCAGAGCCGCCCUAUUCCCAGCAGGAUCUGCCCUAAUCCCUGGAGCCACCCUAGUCCCUGAGCAGGGUCACCUUUCAACCAUUCCCUCUAACAAAAUGCCAGGCGUCAUUCCAACUAAACUGUGGCUCUCAACAUUUAUUUAUUUUUCCAACCUUUUUUUUUUUUGGUAUUGAGGAUUAAACCCAGGAUUACUAGUAAUAAAAACUCUUCAAAUCCUCCAAAGGAUCCGGUUUUAUUCAAUGAUACUCUGAAGGAUAUGGAAAAUGACAACCCCCCUAAGAGAGUGUGACCUGGGAGGCAGGCGGGAGGAAGAAGGCAAAACUAAUAUUUCCCAAUAAAUCCUCUCCCAGUGAUAAGACAAUCCCUGGGAAGGAGGUGAACAUCAAUCCUAAAAUGGCAGUCCAUAAGAAGAGGACAAAUAUUGACUCUUUUACAAUAUAUUCUUUCCCAGUGAUAAUGAAGCCACACAUUAAUCCUAUCCCAGUGAAAAUACAAUGAGCGUUGGAGGACAAGAUAAGCACUGGGCCUGAGCUCUGGACCUUCGAUUCUUGCCCAGUAAAAACAAGUUUCACAUUUUUUUUUUUUAAUUUUAAUACUAUGUAGACACAACAUCUUUGUUUGUAUGUGGUGCUGAGGAUCGAACCCGGGCCGCACGCAUGCCAGGCAAGCGCGCUACCACUUGAGCCACAUCGCCAGCCCACAAGUUUCACAUUUUUAAACCUAUUUCCUGAAUGCCCAAACUGACACAUUCUGUUGAAGUAAUAAAGUUGCCCCUCAGUGGAACCUAUAAAAACCCAGAUCCCUUUGUAACCAGAGGCCAUUUUCUACCCAGAAAGUGAGCCCCUCUGAUGCCUGACUCUGCUGCUGAACAAAAGGCAUUGCUGAUCCAUGAAAUCUGUUCCUGUUCCAGUUAUUUGUGGUUUCAUUAUAAUGUCAAAACCAUAUUGGUUAUUUUUGCUUAUAUACUCUAAAAUUGGAAUUUAAAACACAAUCAUAAGCCAGGCAGGGUGGUGCUCGACUAUAAUCUCAGCUACUUGAGACACUGAUGCAGGUGGAUUGCAAAUGCAAGGUGAGCCUCCGCAAUUUAAUAAGACUGUUUCAAAAUAAAAAAUAAAAAGUUCUGGGGCCAGGCCAGGUGGCACAUGUCUGUAAUCCCAGCAGCCCCAGAGGCUGAGACAGGAGGAUCAAAAGUGUAUGGCCAGCCUCCUUAGCAAGGCCCUAAGCAACUUAGAGAGACCCUGUCUCAAAUAAAAAGCAGAAAGGGCUGGGGAUAUAUCUUAGUAGUUAAGUGCCCCUGGGUUCAAUCCCUAGUACCAAAAUCAACCUACCAAUCAACCAACCACAUUCAUUGGGGCUGGGGUUGUAGCCCAGUAGUAAAGCAUUCAUCUAGUAUGUGUGAGAUCCUGGGUUCAAUCCCCAGAACUGAAAAAAAUAAAAAAUAAAACAUACUCAUUGUGGCCUAAUGGGUAGAAAGGUGGCAAGGAGAAUGUUCAGAAAGAGGGUGAAGAUGGAGACAGUGGCAAGGCUCCAUGUCAUCCUUUUGGUUAUUAUUCCCAAACUGCAGCUGGGAGAAGUGGAAAUUUUUAUCUGGUUUCCCUUAGGACCUGGGUUCUGUGGUGGAGCCCAGUGG
rnacentral:lncRNA from 1 species